CCAGGACAUCGCCCGGGGCCGCGCCAGCGCGCCUGCCUCUCAGACCGUCAGGAAAGCAUCUCACCCGGAGCCUUUGGUCCCAGCCAUCCAGCCCACUCUAGUGAGAGGAAUUCUCUCUGCAAAGCACGUAAUCCAAUCCAGUCACUCCUCUGCAGCUACAGAACCAAGUCUACGCUGAUGCAGGCUCUUCCCAGGCUGAAUUAACCGGCUUCUUCAUCUGUGGUCCCAAGUCACUUUAGGCCUCUGUCACCAACAGCCAUAGCCAAGCAGGGUUCAUUGCUUACAGAUGAUGGCUGCCUGGCUCCGUUACUUCACAAGAAGCUGUCAAAGGGUGGUUUGCAAGCUCUCUUCAUACUUGGGCAUUUUUCUUUUUUUUUUAUGGAGAAGAAUUCUUCCUCUUUAGUUAUUCGGAAAGUCACAUAUGAAAGCCAAGAUGUUUUGAUUUUUUUCCCCUUUAAUUUUUUUUUCUAGACUGAAUUGGUGCUCUAGCAAUUUUCAAAAAGCAACAAUGAGGAUUUUUUUUGCAUCAUCUUAAAUUUUUUUUAAUACGUCUAAUAUGUCUGUAUUCUUUACGAUACUCAGACUGUCCCAUCAUUAGCUGUGGGAGCCCCUUCAAGGUGGCUCCUACAUCUUCCC